ACUCAAAUGAAUAGACGGGGGCCCGCACAAGCAGCGGAGCGUGUGGUUUAAUUCGACGCAACGCGCAGAACCUUACCCAGAUUGGACAUGCCACUGCAAGCCGCUGAAAGGCGGUCGCCUUCGAGGGUGUGGCACAGAUGCUGCAUGGCUGUCGUCAGCUCGUGUCGUGAGAUGUUGGGUUAAGUCCCGCAACGAGCGCAACCCUUACGGUCAGUUACUCGUGUCUGACCGGACUGCCCCUUUGGGGAGGAAGGCGGGGAUGACGUCAAGUCCGCAUGGCUCUUACAUCUGGGGCGACACACACGCUACAAUGGCGUCGGCAGAGCGCAGCGACCCGGCAACGGGAAGCGAAUCGCUAAACGGCGUCUCAGUGCAGAUCGGGGGCUGAAACUCGCCCCCGUGAAGGCGGAGUUGCUAGUAACCGCGUAUCAGCCAUGGCGCGGUGAAUACGUACCCGGGCCUUGUACACACCGCCCGU
rnacentral:rRNA from 1 species